GGUGUCUGAUCUAAUUUCGUUUGUAUGAAGUGGUGAUUUGGAGCCUACAUUCAGAAAACCAGUUUCCUAAUGAAGCACCAGACUACAGAGAGAGGUCUCUAAAUAGACCCAGACCAUCACUGGAUUAAAAUGAUGACUUCCUGGUCUUGGGUGCCAGAUGGCUCCACCAUUGGCCUAGCACUGACCUCUGGGUCGUGACUUCCUUCUUGGAUGUGGAGGCCAAGGCAUAAGCUGGAGGAUGGAGGGUUGGCGUAACUCUACAAGAAGUGUUUCCUCAGACUUCUGGGUGGAUUCUUGAGUCAAUAGAAACCUGAUACUGCUGAGAAGUAACCAGCUCCUUGGAGCACAGGCUCUUGGGCCCGGAGACAGUGUCAUGCACACCCAUCCAUCCAUUCCUAUUUGGAGCUGAAACCUCCCGAACAGUGAGAGAAGACCCCUGGCACAUAAUUGUAUAUUCUUCGUUGUGGGUUCUUCUAGUUGUGGCAUGUGGGACGCUGCCUCAGCGUGGUUUGAUGAGCAGUGCCAUGUCUGAGCCCAGGAUUCGAACCAAUGAAGCACUGGACCGCCUGCAGCGGAGCACGUGAACUUAACCACUCGGCCACGGGGCCAGCCCCAUUAUUCUCAUUUCAUAUCUGAGGAAAAUAAAAUAUUUUUAAUGCACUGGUUGACUGUUUAGGGGCUAUACGUCCCUCUCUUUCUAGUAUGCAUUCUUUUUGCAACAUGACCUAGGCGUUCCUCCCAUGCAGUGGCUCAGUCUAUCUCUUCACUCCCUAGAGUUUGAAGUGACCUUGUGACUUACUGUGGCCCACAG
rnacentral:lncRNA from 1 species